rnacentral:lncRNA from 13 species
AUGCGUAGGGAAGCUAGCGACAGAUCGAUCUAUCCUGGAGUAGAGAGACAGAGAGCCAUGCGUAGAGAAGCUAGCGACAGAUCGAUCUAUCCUGGAGUAGAGAGACAGAGAGCCAUGCGUAGAGAAGCUAGCGACAGAUCGAUCUAUCCUGGAGUAGAGAGACAGAGAGCCAUGCGUAGAGAAGCUAGCGACAGAUCAAUCUAUCCUGGAGUAGAGAGACAGAGAGCCAUGCGUAGAGAAGCUAGCGACAGAGUAGAGAGACAGAGAGCCANNNNNNNNNNUGGAGUAGAGAGACAGAGAGCCAUGCGUAGGGAAGCUAGCGACAGAUCGAUCUAUCCUGGAGUAGAGAGACAGAGAGCCAUGCGUAGAGAAGCUAGCGACAGAUCGAUCUAUCCUGGAGUAGAGAGACAGAGAGCCAUGCGUAGAGAAGCUAGCGACAGAGUAGAGAGACAGAGAGCCAUGCGUAGAGAAGCUAGCGACAGAGUAGAGAGACAGAGAGCCAUGCGUAGAGAAGCUAGCGACAGAGGAGACAGACAGGAAGAGAACUCACCUUUUUAACUUGGGCCUCCUUGAUCUUCUCCAGAGCCACACGGAUCUUCUCUGCCUUGGUCUUGGCAGCCUGUUCUUCCUACGGAAACACACACACACACAUUAAUACAGACAAACAACAACAC